rnacentral:tRNA from 1 species
GCGGGCGUGGCGGAAUUGGUAGACGCUAGCUUCUGAAAAAAGUCAGGGGAAACCCGUGGGGGUUCGAGCCCCCCGCCGCA